GACGAACGCUGGCGGCGUGCCUAAUACAUGCAAGUCGAACGCAUUUUCUUUCACCGUAGCUUGCUACACCGAAAGAAAAUGAGUGGCGAACGGGUGAGUAACACGUGGGUAACCUGCCCAUCAGCGGGGGAUAACACUUGGAAACAGGUGCUAAUACCGCAUAAUUCCAUUUACCGCAUGGUAAAUGGAUGAAAGGCGCUUUUGCGUCACUGAUGGAUGGACCCGCGGUGCAUUAGCUAGUUGGUGGGGUAACGGCCUACCAAGGCUGCGAUGCAUAGCCGACCUGAGAGGGUGAUCGGCCACACUGGGACUGAGACACGGCCCAGACUCCUACGGGAGGCAGCAGUAGGGAAUCUUCGGCAAUGGACGCAAGUCUGACCGGGCAACGCCGCGUGAGUGAAGAAGGUUUUCGGAUUGUAAAACUCUGUUGUUAGAGAAGAACAAGGAUGAGAGUGGAAAGUUCAUCCCUUGACGGUAUCUAACCAGAAAGCCACGGCUAACUACGUG
rnacentral:rRNA from 1 species